rnacentral:rRNA from 1 species
UACGGAGGAGGCAAGCGUUAUCCGGAAUUAUUGGGCGUAAAGCGUCCGCAGGUGGCACUUCAAGUCUGUCGUCAAAGACUGGGGCUUAACCCUGGAAAGGCGGUGGAAACUGAAGCGCUAGAGUACGGUAGGGGUAGAGGGAAUUCCCGGUGUAGCGGUGAAAUGCGUAAAGAUCGGGAAGAACAUCGGUGGCGAAAGCGCUCUACUGGACCGCAACUGACACUCAGGGACGAAAGCUAGGGGAGCGAAUGGG